rnacentral:rRNA from 1 species
AGAGUUUGAUCCUGGCUCAGAAUGAACGCUGGCGGCGUGCUUAACACAUGCAAGUCGAACGGUAACAGAACUAGCUUGCUAGUUGCUGACGAGUGGCGCACGGGUGAGUAAUAUAUAGUUAACGUGCCCCUAAGCCUGGGAUAGCCACUGGAAACGGUGAUUAAUACCGGAUAUACCUUCUACUUAUUAAGAGUAGUUGGGAAAGGUUUUUCGCUAAGGGAUCGGACUAUAUUGUAUCAGCUAGUUGGUGAGGUAAGAGCUCACCAAGGCAAUGACACAUAGCGGGUUUGAGAGGAUGAUCCGCCACACUGGUACUGAGACACGGACCAGACUCCUACGGGAGGCAGCAGUGAGGAAUAUUGCACAAUGGGCGAAAGCCUGAUGCAGCAACGCCGCGUGGAGGAUGACGCAUUUCGGUGUGUAAACUCCUUUUAUAAGAGAAGAAAAUGACGGUAUCUUAUGAAUAAGUCCCGCUAACU